CUUUCCCUUCUGUCAGGAGGCCUCUUCCUGUGUGGCAUUCAUCAGUGUCUAUAUUCUGAGUGAAAGCUCACAGAGCAGUGGACUAGAGGACCCAAUGGACAUGAGGGCCCUAUCGUUAACAGGCACUGAUUUUACAGGACUGGCCAAUUUGAGCAAAAGUUUGAGUCCAAGUCUCUCAGAAAUUAUGCAUCUGUGACAUUUCCAGCAGAAAGUCGUGUGAUACAACACACAUUGUUCUUGGUAAGACUGAUUAAUAAUAUCUCCCGUAAGCAUGGUACAAGUACACCCUGAAGGAUCCCAAGCUGAUCACCUCCUGAGCUGCAGCCAAAUACUUAAGGCCAGACUUGUCCUCUCCCAACCCAGGGCUGGUCCGCAUAAGGCCAGUUCCCAUGGCACAAUGUAGACCACUCAAAAUGCUCUAAACUAUGCUAAGGCCCCAAAGGGACAACCCAACAGCCAGGGUUUGCCUGGAUGCCCACUUUCCUCCAGCCAUGCUGAUUGGAGCAAGGGAGUGGUACAGGAAUUGCUAUGACAGCUCUGUACCAUCCAAGGUUCUCCCAUGCACAGAGACCCUGCAGGGGUACGGCAAAGCAGCUUUAGAACAGGUUUAGGUUGGUGAUUACUGGCUCCCUUGUGAGGGACUCUUAUACCAUCUCAGAUAGAAGACCUAGGACCUGCAGAAGUGUCCAGAAGUUUGUCCUGGAAGAACCUUAUUGUUAAUCCUU